AGAUAUUCCAGGUCACUGCAGGCUAAGGACCUCCCCUCCACAGCCUGGGGAGGAACGCGCUGGAGGUUAAAGGUCCUAAAAAUAAGACGGGGGCCAGGCACAGUGGUUCACACCUGUAAUCCCAGCACUGUGGGAGGCCGGAGGCAGAAGGAUCACUUGAAGCCAGUUCGAGACCAGCCUGGUCAAUAUAGCAACACCUCGUCUCUAUUAAAAAUUGAACAGAGGCCGGGCACGGUGGCUCACGCCUGUAAUCCCAGCACUUUGGGAGGCCGAGUUAGACGCGCGCUCCUUUCUGGUCUAAUUGCGUUAGCAAGUCACCUUGCAGCCCUGCCCAGCGAUUCGGUCGAUGGGUGCCCAGAAUAACAUUCCCCAGCCUUCGCCGCUUGCGAAUGUUCAGGGCUCUUGCCGCCAGAGGGCGCGCCCACGGAGCGCUGAGCGCCAGGGCGCCAGGGGCUGGGUGGCCCGCGCCCAGGAGUGACAGGCUCCCGAGCGGACUUUGCCCGGGGGCGGGUCCCAGGCCAGCUGCUGCUGCAAGUACUUGGGGAAAACAGCUCUUCGAACCGGACAGCGUGAGAGUCAGCGCCUGCUGCCUGGCCGGGCAGAGAUUCUGAUGGAGGAGAGAGGAGACUGAGUGUACUGAGGAAGUGUCAGACAAUGCUAAAUGCUUUCCUAUGACUUAUUUCACAUUUUAGUUAUAAAUCAGCCUGAAAAUAGAACGGGAGUGGAAGUGCGAAGGACAUGCAUUUCAUUCCUGGCAGAGGCUGCCCAAUCAGGACUCCUGGUCCUCUGAAGACAAAGCAACUUUUUGGGGAUGGGGUGGAGGGAGGGAUAGCAUGCCUCCCCCGCUCUUUCCCCCAUGAGCAAAGGGGCUCAGAGUACCUGUGUCCCUGGGCUGAGGUGGCUGCUCCUGUGGGUGCCCUGGGACCUCACUCAGCAUCUUCAAAGAGCCUGUGCACCCUACUCCCUCCAGCUUCUUCGUGGAGGGCUGGAGAAGUUGUGAACCUUUGUCAAAAGACAGAAGCACAAACUUAAAUUCAAACUUUGCAAUUCUAGAAGUGAGCAACACCUCAUCCUUAAAGUGAGCUGAGCAGAGGAGGUUGGCUUUGCAGACAGAGAAGGGCUGCAGAAAGCAGAAACAGAACAAAACACGGAUUGAUCAUGUCAAAGUUACUUUCCAUAUAGGGUUAAAGCAGAGGGGACUUCCUUAUUACUCGGGUUGAUGCAGAUUAAAUGGAAUGUUUUAGGGGAACUGGCCCAUUUCAAAGUUCAGUUUGAUGACACGGCACUUAGCACAACUGACUCCAUUCUGGUGCCUGGCCUGCUGGGGCCUAGUGCAGGAGACUAGUCCCAUAACAACAGCCUCCCAUAAAUGAUGUUUCACACCUCAAACCCUUCCUCAGCUCCAGUCAUCCCAGUGCUCCCACUGACCCAAGUAUUUUCUGAGACUAUUUGGUUCCCCAGCCACCAGAGAAUCGGCAUAAAUCAUAAGUCACUCUGUAUUUUAAAACCAUAAUCAUGCUGGGUGCGGUGGCUCAUGCCUAUAAUUUCAGCACUUUGGGAGACCAAGGUGGGUGGAUCACCUGAGGUCAGGAGUUUGAGACCAGCCUGGCCAACAUGGUGAAACCCCGUCUCUACUAAUAAUACAGAAAUUAGCUGGGCAUCGUGGCGGGCACCUAUAACCCCAGCUACUCAGGAGGCUGAGGCAGGAGAAUCGCUUGAACUGGGAGGCGGAGUUUGCAGUGAGCCGAGAUCAUGCCACUGCACUCCAACCUGGGAGACACAGCAAGACUUUGUCUCCAAAAAAAAAAAAAGCCAGAUAUCAAGAGUACAUAUAAACCCUAUAAUUCGAUUUAUAUAAAACUGUAGAAAAAAAUAAUCAUGACAGAAGAAGAUGAAUGCUUACCUUGGGCCAUUGACUGGGGUGUCAAAUGGAAUGGGGCACAAGAGAACUCUGGGGAGCAACAGAAAUGUUCUGUAUUUUCAUUGUGGUAGUGGUCAUAUGCAUGUAAAACAUUGUUAACAUUCAAUGAAAAGUUUGCUUGAAAAAAAAA
ensembl:lncRNA